GGAAGUAAAAGCGUAACAAGGUUUCCGUAGGUGAACCUGCGGAAGGAUCUUUAUUGUAUAACCGAGGUGCGAGGGCUGUCGCUGACCCGAAAGGUCGUGCACGCCCGAGUGCCCUCACACACAUCCAUCUCACCCCUAUGUGCACCACCGCGUGGGUCCCCCUUUGGCUUGUUCGGAGGGGGGCUUACGUUUUCACACAAACUUUGUAUGCAGUGUAGAAUGUAUUUUUUGUUUUUGCGAUCACGCAAUCAAUACAACUUUCAACAACGGAUCUCUUGGCUCUC
rnacentral:misc_RNA from 1 species